AUGAACGCUAGCGGCAGGCUUAACACAUGCAAGUCGAGGGGCAGCACUUGUAGCAAUACAUGGUGGCGACCGGCGCAAGGGUGCGUAACGCGUGAGCAACAUGCCCGUAUCAGGGGGAUAAUCCAGGGAAACUUGGUCUAAUACCCCAUAGCAAUUAUUUGAGGCAUCUUAAAUAAUUUAAAGCUUUGGUGGAUACGGAUUGGCUCGCGUGACAUUAGCUAGAUGGUGAGGUAACGGCUUACCAUGGCUACGAUGUCUAGGGGUUCUGAGAGGAAGAUCCCCCACACUGGAACUGAGACACGGUCCAGACUCCUACGGGAGGCAGCAGUGAGGAAUAUUGGACAAUGGAUGGAAAUCUGAUCCAGCCAUGCCGCGUGCAGGAAGACGGCCCUAUGGGUUGUAAACUGCUUUUGUGUGGGAGCAAUAAGGUCUAUGCGUAGACUGAUGAGAGUACCAUACGAAUAAGCAUCGGCUAACUCCGUG
rnacentral:rRNA from 1 species